AUUGAACGCUGGCGGCAGGCUUAACACAUGCAAGUCGAGCGGUAGCACAGGGGAGCUUGCUCCCUGGGUGACGAGCGGCGGACGUGUGAGUAAUGUCUGGGAAACUGCCUGAUGGAGGGGGAUAACUACUGGAAACGGUAGCUAAUACCGCAUAACGUCGCAAGACCAAAGAGGGGGACCUUCGGGCCUCUUGCCAUCAGAUGUGCCCAGAUGGGAUUAGCUAGUAGGUGGGGUAAUGGCUCACCUAGGCGACGAUCCCUAGCUGGUCUGAGAGGAUGACCAGCCACACUGGAACUGAGACACGGUCCAGACUCCUACGGGAGGCAGCAGUGGGGAAUAUUGCACAAUGGGCGCAAGCCUGAUGCAGCCAUGCCGCGUGUGUGAAGAAGGCCUUCGGGUUGUAAAGCACUUUCAGCGAGGAGGAAGGUGGUGAGCUUAAUACGUUCAUCAAUUGACGUUACUCGCAGAAGAAGCACCGGCUAACUCCGUG
rnacentral:rRNA from 1 species